rnacentral:rRNA from 1 species
GUGGGGAAUAUUGGACAAUGGGGGGAACCCUGAUCCAGCCAUGCCGCGUGUGUGAAGAAGGCCUUUUGGUUGUAAAGCACUUUAAGCGAGGAGGAGGCUACCGAGAUUAAUACUCUUGGAUAGUGGACGUUACUCGCAGAAUAAGCACCGGCUAACUCUGUGCCAGCAGCCGCGAUAAUACAGAGGGUGCAAGCGUUAAUCGGAUUUACUGGGCGUAAAGCGCGCGUAGGUGGCCAAUUAAGUCAAAUGUGAAAUCCCCGAGCUUAACUUGGGAAUUGCAUUCGAUACUGGUUGGCUAGAGUAUGGGAGAGGAUGGUAGAAUUCCAGGUGUAGCGGUGAAAUGCGUAGAGAUCUGGAGGAAUACCGAUGGCGAAGGCAGCCAUCUGGCCUAAUACUGACACUGAGGUGCGAAAGCAUGGGGAGCAAACAGGAUUAGAAACCCUGGUAGUCC